rnacentral:rRNA from 1 species
AUUGAACGCUGGCGGCAGGCCUAACACAUGCAAGUCGAACGAGUGGCGGACGGGUGAGUAAUGUCUGUGAACCUGCCCGAUGGAGGGGGAUAACUAGUGGAAACGGUAGCUAAUACCGCAUACCAUCGGAUGUGCCCUGAUGGGAUUAGCUAGUAGGUGGGGUAAUGGCUCACCUAGGCGACGAUCCCUAGCUGGUCUGAGAGGAUGAACAGCCACACUGGAACUGAGAAACGGUCCAGACUCCUACGGGAGGCAGCAGUGGGGAAUAUUGCGCAAUGGGCGAAAGCCUGAUGCAGCCAUGCCGCGUGUAUGAAGAAGGCCUUCGGGUUGUAAAGUACUUUCAGCGAGGAGGCGUUACUCGCAGAAGAAGCAACGGCUAACUCCGUGCCAGCAGCCGCGGUAAUUC